AUCCACCGCCAUAUCACACUGCAGCGCAGGCGCGGUUACUCACUGAACCUAAGCAGGGCUGGGCCUGGUCAGUGCCUGGAUGGGAGACCAGAUGGGAAAACUAAGUUGCUUUUGGCA
rnacentral:rRNA from 1 species